rnacentral:rRNA from 1 species
UACAGAGGUUGCAAGCGUUAAUCGGAUUUACUGGGCGUAAAGCGUGUGUAGGUGGCUUGACAAGUCGGUUGUGAAAUCCCCGGGCUCAACCUGGGAAUUGCUUCCGAGACUGUCAGGCUAGAGAUCGGUAGAGGGCGGUGGAAUUUCCGGUGUAGCGGUGAAAUGCGUAGAUAUCGGAAGGAACACCAAUGGCGAAGGCAGCCGCCUGGGCCUGAUCUGACACUGAGACACGAAAGCGUGGGGAGCGAACAGG